UUUUUUUUUACUAUUAACUGUCUUUGUAACAGAGUAGGAAGUGUCAACAUUUUAAGUUGGGAAGGUUAGAAAAGUUAUUUUCAAUUACUUCAUAGUAUAUUUUGUGUAUCUGUGCUUUGUACCUUAACUAGGCUACUUGGGGGCUUAUUUUUUUAUUUAAAAAGGUUUUGGUCUUAUUAAUGAAGUCAUUAGUUCAUUACUUUCUACUUUUCGCUUUAAUUUUUACCUUGGAUUUAACUUCUUUAAACAGAGUAUAUCUACUCCAAAAUAAGGGCGAAUGUGCUGAGAGCAUUAAAAUCGUUUGUUUUUGGAGUAAAUGCAACGUUGUAAAAUUCUUGCAUCGGUAUCAAAUGCUCUUUGAUGAGUUAAAAUCAGGGAACAUAUGAACAUUAUGGCAGUAACUCACAUUUUAUCUGAUUUAAUCCUUAGGACAAUCGGGCUAUCUAUAUUUUAAUCUAUUUUUAUAGAUGAAAUCUAGACCUAAAGUUAAAAAUUUUCUCAAGGUCACUUGUGUUAGAGGCAGAAAUCUAAACUGCCAGUAACAGACUAUUGCACAUGAAGGCAAGUGGGUUUCAAAACAUAUGGAAAGGCCUUUUAAUGCCAAAAGGUUGGGAACUUCUAUGAGUUCUUCACCCACAGGGCAGUCAAAACACAAUUUACAAGAAGGUGAUCGAUUAUUUAGCUUCACGCAUUAUUUGUACUCAAUGGAAUCAGUGCCAAGUGACUAGUCAAAGUAAACAAGCCAUAUGUUGUCCCCCUAAAGCUGUAAGGACAGCACAGGGCACACUGGGAACGUGGGCUGCGCUUGUCUGCAUAGGAGCACUUGCUACUACAUACACUGAAUUAACCAGAGUACUUGAGAAACUUCACCCCUGCAUUCUUUUUCUGGAUUUCUAGAGAAUGGGAUAAUGGCUAUUAUCCACAUGAAAGUAAAAUUCUCCCCUUCUUUCAAGCCCCCACUCCAGAUUAAGUAUACACAGAAAACACUGCAGUUUCCAAAAUAUGUUGAUUGUUUUAAGGGAGGUGCUCCUUAGUACCAAGUGUAUGAGCUGCUGAGGUACUGCACUGUCUCGUACUCCUACAGUCACUGAGUGGAGACAUGAUAAAACACUGCAGAUAUUUAAGGCACAAAAUCAGACCUAAAUAAAGUAGAGAUGGAAUCAGAAUUCCCAGGCCCCCCUUUUUUUUUUAUUUGCAGUAAUAUCAAACCAUCCAUUUACAAAGUUUCUUGUCUCCUAUCUGCUGGAAUUAACUAGGUAUGUCUUUGGGACCAUGUAGUUGCAUCCACUUUGGUGGUUACAAGAAAGCAAGCAACCAACCAACCACUAGAACACAAGGCUAGCAUACUGCUUCCGCUGGAAUCCAGCAGGGUUACCUGAGCAUGCCACACCUGAACACUGAGUGGAGGAAAGGAGUAGAGCUGCUCUUCAUUUGUUUGCAAAGCAAAUUCAUUUGAAAGAAUGAACAAAUUGUCAUCAGUACGUCAAAUGUUUUUGUCACUUAGACCUUCAACCCAAGACACAAAGUUUUUCUUUUUCUAACACUCUACCCUGAAAUAAGUUUGCCAAUAAAACCCAAAGAUUUAAUACAAAUAGUACAAUUCAUAUUUGCUUUCCUCUUUCCUUUUUUUUAGACAAACAACAAAUAAAAUGCAGGCAAAGGAGCUGAAACAACGGGAAGCUGACUUACAAACUACACUAACUUUAAAGAAUCUAAAAGCGUUUGGGUACUACUGCUUUUCAAGUAAGACAUUUGGAGAGAAAUCGCCUAAGGACACUGAAGUCACAAGUAUGACUUGGACACUGCAAUCAAAUAAGAGGGAAGGAAAGAAAGAUGGAGACAAGAAGGAAGAGAGGUUCAUGGUGUGAUUGAAAAAAAUACUCCAGGGGGACUCUGGACCAAGAUGGUGACAUAAGAGGCUCCUGAAUUUCGCUCCUCCCAUGCAUGGAUGCACCAAAUGGAAAGCUACACAUGGAGAAAGUUCCCUCUGAGAGAAAUCCAGAAACUAGCCGACUGACUCCUAAACAUCUAGUAAGUGAAAAAAUACUGACAUCAAAACAAGUAGGAAAGGGUGAGAUACAUUCUCUCUGUAAGUCCCACCCCCAGCACAGUGCCAUACAACUGGGAGGAAACCGCCAACUCCCAGCUUCUCCCUAAAGAUUGAAGGGUUUGUACUCCAAGUUUUAAGACUCCCACCUGAGGUAUAGGCUCUGAUAGCCAACAGGGUUUGUGUUCCCGAGUCCCACAGGAUUAUAGCAAACAAAGAAGCAGUUGGGGCUCAGCACAGAGGGAGCAAGCAAAAACACCCAUUUUUCAGUUUCUCCCUGGAAGGGGUUUGACUGCAAACUUUCACAGCUACUGCCUGAGGGUCUAGCUUCUAAUCAGCUUGCAUCUAGAUGCUGACUGAAGUAUCCCCCUUUGGGACACUGAUGGGUCUUGGCACCUCCUCAACUACUGGUAGUCACUAAGAACAAAGAUGGCAGCCUGGAUAAUCACAAAGGCUUGAGAAGCAACCAGGAGCUCAGGCUGAGCUGAUUGAUGAAGUUCAUCUCUCAUACACAAGACCUAUCUGUCAAGACUGGAAGAGGUGGCUGUUUUAUUUAAUGUGCAGAAACCAGCACAGAGAGUCAAGGAAAAUGAAGAGACAAGGAGUAUGUUCCAAAUAAAAGAACCUGAUUAAUCUUCAGAAACUGACCUUAAUGAAAUGGAAUUAAGUUAUUUACAUGAGAGAGAGUUAAAAAUAAUGGUCAUAAAAACACCAAGAUCAGGGAGCAACGCAUGAACCUGUAGUGAAGACUUUAUGCCAAACACUGUAACAAGAGACAACAAAGGUCAUUAUAUGAUAAAGGGGUCAAUUUAUUAAGAGGAGAUACAUUUGUAAAUAUUUAUGCACCCAACAUUGGAGCACCUAAAUACAUAAAGCACAUAUUAACAGAUCUGAAGGCAGAAAUAGACAGCAUUACAAUAAUAGCAGGGGUCUUCAACACCCUGCUUUCAACAAUGGAUAGAUCAUCUAGACAGAAAAUCAAUAAGGAAGCAUUGGACUUAAACUACAUGUUAGACCAGAUGGACCUAACAGAUAGAUACAAAACAUUCCAUUCAACAGCAGCAGAAUAUAUACUCUUAUCAAGUACACAUGGAAUAUUCCCCAGAACUGGUCAUAUGUUAGACCACAAAACAAGUCUUAAUAAAUCUAAGAAGACUGAAAUUAAGUAUCUUUUUUGACCAUAAUUGUAUGAUAGUAGUUAUCAAUUGCAAGAAGAAAACUGGAAAAUUCACAAACAUGUGGAGAUUAAAU